rnacentral:rRNA from 1 species
UGGGGAUUAGUGGCGAACGGGUGAGUAACACGUGAGUAACCUGCCCUGGACUCUGGGAUAACCCCGAGAAAUCGGAGCUAAUACCGGAUAGGACCUUCUCUCGCAUGGGGGUUGGUGGAAAGUUUUUUCGGUUUGGGAUGGACUCGCGGCCUAUCAGCUUGUUGGUGAGGUAAUGGCUCACCAAGGCGUCGACGGGUAGCCGGCCUGAGAGGGUGACCGGCCACACUGGGACUGAGACACGGCCCAGACUCCUACGGGAGGCAGCAGUGGGGAAUAUUGCACAAUGGGCGCAAGCCUGAUGCAGCAACGCCGCGUGCGGGAUGACGGCCUUCGGGUUGUAAACCGCUUUUAGUAGGGAAGAAGCCUUUCGGGGUGACGGUACCUGCAGAAAAAGGACCGGCUAACUACGUGCCAGCAGCCGCGGUAAUACGUAGGGUCCGAGCGUUGUCCGGAAUUAUUGGGCGUAAAGAGCUCGUAGGCGGUUUGUCGCGUCUGCUGUGAAAUCCCGGGGCUCAACUCCGGGCCUGCAGUGGGUACGGGCAGACUUGAGUGGUGUAGGGGAGACUGGAAUUCCUGGUGUAGCGGUGGAAUGCGCAGAUAUCAGGAGGAACACCGAUGGCGAAGGCAGGUCUCUGGGCACUUACUGACGCUGAGGAGCGAAAGCGUGGGGAGCGAACAGGAUUAGAUACCCUGGUAGUCCACGCCGUAAACGUUGGGCGCUAGAUGUGGGGACCUUUCCACGG